rnacentral:piRNA from 1 species
CNGAUUCAUGAUGUAGAGCUAAGUGGUCC